CCUGCCCCAGGAGGAGUUGCAGGUGUGGCUGCUGUGUCAUAUGAGUGCCAGGAGGGAGCAGAAUGGAGAGAGGGGCUAUGUCUGUUCUCAGUGUUCUGACCUAUGAACAUCUGAGUGAUGAGUAGCCUAACAUU